rnacentral:rRNA from 1 species
CGUAGGGUGCGAGCGUUAAUCGGAAUUACUGGGCGUAAAGCGUGCGCAGGCGGUUUUGUAAGACAGAUGUGAAAUCCCCGGGCUCAACCUGGGACCUGCAUUUGUGACUGCAAGGCUAGAGUACGGUAGAGGGGGAUGGAAUUCCGCGUGUAGCAGUGGAAUGCGUAGAUAUGCGGAGGAACACCGAUGGCGAAGGCAAUCCCCUGGACCUGUACUGACGCUCAUGCACGAAAGCGUGGGGAGCAAACAGGAUUAGAUACCCUGGUAGUCCACGCCCUAAACGAUGUCAACUGGUUGUUGGGUCUUUACUGACUCAGUAACGAAGCUAACGCGUGAAGUUGACCGCCUGGGGAGUACGGCCGCAAGGUUG